AGUCAGAGGGCUGACUGAAGUGAUCUUUACCCAGUGCUCUGGAAGGGAAGGGAAGGACCUCUGUGAGCAGCCCUCAAUGGGAGCCCCAGAGGUACUGGCUGGGAGGCAGGACCACACCCUCAAUUCACUCAUUAGAGUCUGUGCCUUGGUCCUUUGCUCUUGGUGGAGUGGGCCCCUGGGGCAGCUACCCUGGCUUGAAGAAAACCUCCAUUCCCCUUGUGCUAAGUUGCUUCAGUGUGUCUGACUCUUUGCGACCUCAUAGACUGUAGCCUGCCAGGCUCCUUUGUCCAUGGGAUUCUCCAGAGUCCAGAAGAACACAUUCUGAGCCAUUAGCCUUGGUUAUCUCUGAGAAGUAAAGCUGGGAAGGAGAGUCGUCCUGUUUAUUUUACACACAACUGAGGCAGAGAAAUGACAAACUGCAUCUGAGGGCACACAGCUGGCUGGUGAGACCUGGCCAGCCUUAGAUCAUGGGCUGAGGUUCCCAAGCUCAGCACCUGUUCGACUGCAUCUCCGAGUCUGCAGUGACCAGCCCCCUACCCAAAUGAUGAUGGGGAACAUUUGCUCAAUGGAUGAGAAAAUAAUAC
ensembl:lncRNA